UGGGGAAUUUUUCGCAAUGGGCGCAAGCCUGACGAAGCAACGCCGCGUGGAGGAUGAAGGUCUUCGGAUUGUAAACUCCUGUCGACCGGGACGAAUGCACCCGACCUAAUACGUCGAAGUGUUGACGGUACCGGUGGAGGAAGCCACGGCUAACUCUGUGCCAGCAGCCGCGGUAAUACAGAGGUGGCAAGCGUUGUUCGGAAUUACUGGGCGUAAAGGGCGCGUAGGCGGCCUUGUAAGUCUUGUGUGAAAGCCCUCGGCUUAACUGAGGAUCUGCACGGGAUACUGCGAGGCUUGAGUUCGGGAGAGGAAAGCGGAAUUCCGGGUGUAGCGGUGAAAUGCGUAGAUAUCCGGAGGAACACCAGUGGCGAAGGCGGCUUUCUGGACCGACACUGACGCUGAGGCGCGAAAGCU
rnacentral:rRNA from 1 species